rnacentral:rRNA from 1 species
AACGAACGCUGGCGGCAUGCCUAACACAUGCAAGUCGAACGAGACCUUCGGGUCUAGUGGCGCACGGGUGCGUAACGCGUGGGAACCUGCCCUUAGGUUCGGAAUAACUCCCCGAAAGGGGUGCUAAUACCGGAUAAUGUCUUCGGACCACAGAUUUAUCGCCUUUGGAUGGGCCCGCGUUUGAUUAGCUAGUUGGUAGGGUAAAAGCCUACCAAGGCGACGAUCCAUAGCUGGUCUGAGAGGAUGAUCAGCCACACUGGGACUGAGACACGGCCCAGACUCCUACGGGAGGCAGCAGUGGGGAAUAUUGGACAAUGGGCGAAAGCCUGAUCCAGCAAUGCCGCGUGAGUGAUGAAGGCCUUAGGGUUGUAAAGCUCUUUUACCCGGGAUGAUAAUGACAGUACCGGGAGAAUAAGCUCCGGCUAACUCCGUG